AUGAAAGCAGUAACAGUUUAUAGGCACAGUACUGUAAAAUUAUCAUAUUUCUGCAGUAGACUUACUGAUUUGAUUGCCCUUCCUUUAACGACUUUUCUGCUUUCCUUAAAUAUAAAUUACAUGCACAUGGUAAAAAUACGUAUGUUUCAUUUAGGUACUUGCUGUCCAUGUUCUCAUAAACCAGCUGGAAAGGUCCAUGAAGACACAUGCACAAACAGGCAGAUUAAGCCUGCUCCCUCAGAAAUCAAACAGAAACAAAACAAGGAGAAAUCUCAUUACCAGUUAAGAAAGGCACCUCAUAAUGUCAUUUAGAUAACAGAUAAAGCUGAGUGAAACUGCUGAAAGCUUGAAACCAGAGGCUUUACUGGUGUGAAAUGCUCAGUGCAGGUAAAUGAACUCCCAAUACUUAAUUAAUUUUAAUUUUAGUAUUUUUACUAAUUUUAAUUACUAAAAAAUACUUCUGUUUUGGUCAAGGAACGGAGAACAAUAGCUCAGCUGACAGCGGCAUCUCGUUUUGAAUCAAAGUCUUGUGAGAAGUUAAACCAUGAGUGAAGCAUGACACAGAAAAAAAUAUUUCUCUCUGCAUGCUACAACUGCCUAUGAGCAUAGGCCAGAAUCUCUGCAGGAUCUCUGCAUCACUGCAUCAGCCAUACUGAUCUUUCUUCACUUUGGAGGUGGCAAAUGUGAUGAGGGAAGAACACCUUCUCCCCCAUUAUCCAUCCCCCCAAAAAAAGAAAUAAGAGGGAAAAAAUAUAUGUUUGAGGGGUGCAUGUUUUAAUAAGAUGUAUGUUCAAAAUGUCCUUUUUUUUUUUUUUUUUUUUUUUUUUUCCAGUAAGUAUUUGGUGACCCCUGAAUCUACACAUUUCAUCAGUAGAUAAUACAGAAUACAAAGAUAGAACACCAAUUUCUACAGCUAUACCUCUGCACAAUCAGUUCUUGAAACAUAAGAAGAGGAUUGUGAUCUGCCUGUUUUGGAUCCCUGAAGCAGAAUACUUGCAGAUGCUGCACAGAAAACUGCAUAUUAAGUGAAAAUGUGAAUUUUUAUUUACUUAUUUAUUUUUUUUCCCCAAAAUUGCAUGCCAGGAAAAGGUUUUUAAAGUUUUCUUUUCAUUUUCUGUAAAGCAGAGGAUGGGCCAUAUGUAGACAUUAGAAAUAUACUAAAAUUCUGAUGUCUGUUUUUGAGAUUUGCUUUAUGUUGUUACCACAGAAGUGAAACAGUUAAAUAAUUUUGCCUUCUGUUGAAACAAUAUAUAACCUCUUCGUUAUUAUGCAUAGCUUUCAUGCAUACUAUUUGAAGAUAUAGUGAUUUAUCCAGCUGGUUUCUUAUAUAAUCUUGAGGUAUAAAUUUAUAUAGUGGGAGUUUUAGUGUAUUUAUGAUGCAUAAUAAAUUGUAUUUAAAAAGUAACUUGUGCA
rnacentral:lncRNA from 1 species